AGUGAAGUAUUUUAAUUAAAAUAUUAAAUUGCAAAUUUAAAGAUAGAGACCCCUCUCCUCAUUU
rnacentral:tRNA from 1 species